GAUGAACGCUGGCGGCGUGCCUAACACAUGCAAGUCGAACGGAGUCCAGCCUUUAAGACCUUCGGGUCAAAGAGGGGAAGACUGAGUGGCGGACGGGUGAGUAACACGUGGGCAACCUGGCUCAUAGAGGGGGAUAACAGAGAGAAAUUUCUGCUAAUACCGCAUAAGCACACACUGCCGCAUGGCAGAGGGUGAAAAGAGAAUCGCUAUGAGAUGGACCCGCGUCUGAUUAGCCAGUUGGCAGGGUAAGAGCCUACCAAAGCGACGAUCAGUAGCCGAUCUGAGAGGAUGAACGGCCACAUUGGGACUGAGACACGGCCCAAACUCCUACGGGAGGCAGCAGUGGGGGAUAUUGCACAAUGGGGGGAACCCUGAUGCAGCGACGCCGCGUGAGUGAAGAAGUAUUUCGGUAUGUAAAGCUCUAUCAGCAGGGAGGAUAAUGACAGUACCUGAAUAAGAAGCCCCGGCUAACUACGUG
rnacentral:rRNA from 1 species